GACGAACGCUGGCGGCGUGCCUAAUACAUGCAAGUAGAACGCACAGUUUAUACCGUAGCUUGCUACACCAUAAACUGUGAGUUGCGAACGGGUGAGUAACGCGUAGGUAACCUGCCUGGUAGCGGGGGAUAACUAUUGGAAACGAUAGCUAAUACCGCAUAAUAUUAAUUAUUGCAUGAUAAUUAAUUGAAAGGUGCAAUUGCACCACUACCAGAUGGACCUGCGUUGUAUUAGCUAGUAGGUGAGGUAACGGCUCACCUAGGCGACGAUACAUAGCCGACCUGAGAGGGUGAUCGGCCACACUGGGACUGAGACACGGCCCAGACUCCUACGGGAGGCAGCAGUAGGGAAUCUUCGGCAAUGGACGAAAGUCUGACCGAGCAACGCCGCGUGAGUGAAGAAGGUUUUCGGAUCGUAAAGCUCUGUUGUAAGAGAAGAACGGGUGUGAGAGUGGAAAGUUCACACUGUGACGGUAUCUUACCAGAAAGGGACGGCUAACUACGUGCCAGCAGCCGCGGUAAUACGUAGGUCCCGAGCGUUGUCCGGAUUUAUUGGGCGUAAAGCGAGCGCAGGCGGUUAGAUAAGUCUGAAGUUAAAGGCUGUGGCUUAACCAUAGUACGCUUUGGAAACUGUUUAACUUGAGUGCAGAAGGGGAGAGUGGAAUUCCAUGUGUAGCGGUGAAAUGCGUAGAUAUAUGGAGGAACACCGGUGGCGAAAGCGGCUCUCUGGUCUGUAACUGACGCUGAGGCUCGAAAGCGUGGGGGAGCGAACAGG
rnacentral:rRNA from 1 species